rnacentral:rRNA from 1 species
AUUGAACGCUGGCGGCAGGCCUAACACAUGCAAGUCGAGCGGAUGAAGAGAGCUUGCUCUCUGAUUCAGCGGCGGACGGGUGAGUAAUGCCUAGGAACCUGCCUGGUAGUGGGGGACAACGUUUCGAAAGGAACGCUAAUACCGCAUACGUCCUACGGGAGAAAGUGGGGAUCUUCGGACCUCACGCUAUCAGAUGAGCCUAGGUACGAUUAGCUAGUUGGUGAGGUAAAGGCUCACCAAGGCGACGAUCGUUAACUGGUCUGAGAGGAUGAUCAGUCACACUGGAACUGAGACACGGUCCAGACUCCUACGGGAGGCAGCAGUGGGGAAUAUUGGACAAUGGGCGAAAGCCUGAUCCAGCCAUGCCGCGUGUGUGAAGAAGGUCUUCGGAUUGUAAAGCACUUUAAGUUGGGAGGAAGGGCAGUAAGUCAAUACCUUGCUGUUUUGACGUUACCGACAGAAUAAGCACCGGCUAACUUCGUGCCAGCCGCCGCCGUAA